GCGUGCACGUGGGAGCUCGGGAGAGAGCGCUGCUGAGGCGGUCUUCUUUUCCUCGCCUGGGAAGCAAAUGGACUCCCGUGGACCGUAGGCUUGAGGGGCGAUGUAGUUGCACUGCGCGCAGUUCCCUUUCCCUCGAGUUGAGUGGGAGCUGCGAUCAAUGAGUAAGAUCACCUUUCACCCUCAGGUUUCAAUUAAGUGGAGAAAAUCUGAAUUGAUGCCAUUGGGAGACUAAGUCAUGGAGUGUAUUUGCUAAUGGACAUUUUUGAUGGUACAUAACUUGGAAUAUUGAUUGCUGAUAUAUCCGUGAAUUCGGAGAGACAGGCAAUUUUAAACCUGUCACUAUGAGAUUCUAGUGGGGCUUUCUGAAGUCAUCCAUCAUCUCAUGCCCAUCACACUGCUUGUUCCCAAGGACUGGUGCCUCUG